GUUACCCCUGGACCUUUACUGGUCCCACUUUGCCAUUGGUUGGUGCUGCAGUGGCCCUGCCUUCAAGUAACCAACUGUCAGUGAGAGACCGUUAGUGGUCCUGCUCAGCCAUUGGUCAGUGCCACAGUGGGCCCUGCCCCCAAGCGACCAACUGUCAACGAGAGACCGUUAGUGGUCCUGCUGAGCCAUUGGUUGGUACUGCAGUGGGCCCCGCCCACAAACCACCAACUGUCAAAGAGCAACCCUUAAUGAGGUAAUUCAGCCAAUGGUUGGUAGAAUGGUGGUCUUCAGGUGGAAAGUGAGUGUGUGAAAUGAAAUGAACAAGCUGCCCAUGAGGACCCAAGGGAUACUCAGCCUGAAAGGGAUAUAUGUGGGCAUCAUGACAUCAAAUUCAGUUGUUCACUCAGAUGCCGUUAUUACUUAUUUCCUAUUUAAGGAUAACUGAAUCAGAGAGGUGCAGUGACUUAGACUAGUGGUCCUCAACCAUGACUGAAUUCUCAAAACAGUUUUCAAAUGUCAAGGCUCAGCCCCAUCCCGUAUUAAUUCGGGAUCAUUGGAGAGGUGAGUCCCAGGCAUUGAUGUUUUAAAAUUUUUUUCUUCGGAUUCUAAUACGCAACCAAAAUGAAGAACCACGGACUUAAAUUUCUGCCAAAGCAUCGCGCCAAAGAUCUGUUUUCACUUAAGACCCAUCUGCCCAUGAGAACCACCUGGAGGAGGCAGGAACAGUUGAGGGUACCCCUACUGCCAGAUAUUUCUAAUGAGCAGUCAGGGUUGAGAAUCACUGCUUUGAGAUAUUUUGCCAGCAAUAUUGCUGUUUAUAAAUCUGUGUUUUCUAAAAGGCUUGGAUAUAUAUAUAUUUUUAAAUGUAUCAUUGUCUUUCUGAAGGCAGUGACAACCUUUGUCUGUAGAUUAGCUUUACAAAUCCAACACCCAAAUGGUAGCAUUUGCUCAUGUUAGAGGGAUAGGAAGGAAAGGAGAACUUUGAUCAACCACCUGGGAUGCCACUGAUUUGUCUCUGAUCUUGAAAGUGGAAAUCCCAAGAGCAGCCGUGAAUUAUAGAUCUGGGCAGGGCUCCCAAAUCGUUUGUGGAUCAGCCUUUGUGAUGGCCGCCUUGUAACUAGGUCUUCAGUGUUUUCUCCUGUGUGUUUAUAUUUGCAAAAAUACACAUAUCCAUAAAUGACAGCACUGUCCUUCAGCCUUCAGUUCAGAUGUGCAGCUGAAUGAGGGAUGCUAAAGAGAUAAAUCAACGCAACAAAAUUCUCCAGCGUUGCUGGAGAGCAGUGGUUUAAACCAGGUUUCAGCGGGAAGGAUCCUGUGUGAGGG